rnacentral:rRNA from 1 species
GACGAACGCUGGCGGCGUGCUUAACACAUGCAAGUCGAACGGUAAGGCUCCAGCUUGCUGGGGUACACGAGUGGCGAACGGGUGAGUAACACGUGGGUGACCUGCCCUGCACUUCGGGAUAAGGCUGGGAAACUGGGUCUAAUACCGGAUAGGACCGCACCGUGAGGGGGUGGUGGAAAGUUUUUUCGGUGUGGGAUGGGCCCGCGGCCUAUCAGCUUGUUGGUGGGGUAAUGGCCUACCAAGGCGGCGACGGGUAGCCGGCCUGAGAGGGUGGACGGCCACAUUGGGACUGAGACACGGCCCAGACUCCUACGGGAGGCAGCAGUGGGGAAUAUUGCACAAUGGGCGGAAGCCUGAUGCAGCGACGCCGCGUGGGGGAUGACGGCCUUCGGGUUGUAAACUCCUUUCACCAUCGACGAAGGGUUUCUGACGGUAGAUGGAGAAGAAGCACCGGCUAACUACGUG